rnacentral:rRNA from 1 species
UACGUAGGGUGCAAGCGUUAAUCGGAAUUACUGGGCGUAAAGCGUGCGCAGGCGGUUUUGUAAGUCGAACGUGAAAUCCCCCGGGCUCAACCCCGGGGAACUGCGUCCGAUACUGGAAGGCUUGAAUCCGGGAGAGGGAUGCGGAAUUCCAGGUGUAGCGGUGAAAUGCGUAGAUAUCUGGAGGAACACCGGUGGCGAAGGCGGCAUCCUGGACCGGUAUUGACGCUGAGGCGCGAAAGCCAGGGGAGCAAACGGG